CCUACGGGAGGCAGCAGUAGGGAAUCUUCCACAAUGGACGAAAGUCUGAUGGAGCAACGCCGCGUGAGUGAAGAAGGUUUUCGGCUCGUAAAGCUCUGUUGGUAGUGAAGAAAGAUAGAGGUAGUAACUGUCCUUUAUUUGACGGUAUUUACUUAGAAAGUCACGGCUAACUACGUGCCAGCAGCCGCGGUAAUACGUAGGUGGCAAGCGUUGUCCGGAUUUUUUGGGCGUAAAGCGAGUGCAGGCGGUGUAAUAAGUCUGAUGUGAAAGCCUUCGGCUCAACCGGAGAAUUGCAUCAGAAACUGUUGGACUUGAGUGCAGAAGAGGAGAGUGGAACUCCAUGUGUAGCGGUGGAAUGCGUAGAUAUAUGGAAGAACACCAGUGGCGAAGGCGGCUCUCUGGUCUGCAACUGACGCUGAGGCUCGAAAGCAUGGGUAGCGAACAGGAUUAGAUACCCCUGUAGUC
rnacentral:rRNA from 1 species